CUGGUCGUCGGGUAGCAAUAUCCGGCGGCCGGAGUCGCGAACGGGUGAGUAACACGUGGGUAAUCUGCCGCGAAGACCGGUAUAACCCGCCGAAAGGUGGGCUAAUUCCGGAUGUGGUCCCGUGGGGGCAUCCCUGCGGGAUUAAAGGGUGGGGACCGCAAGGCCUGCCGCUUCGCGAGGAGCCCGCGGCCUAUCAGCUAGUUGGUAGGGUAACGGCCUACCAAGGCUAAGACGGGUAGCUGGUCUGAGAGGACGACCAGCCACACUGGGACUGAGACACGGCCCAGACACCUACGGGUGGCAGCAGUCGAGAAUCUUUCACAAUGGGCGAAAGCCUGAUGGAGCGACGCCGCGUGGGGGAUGAAGGGCUUCGGCUCGUAAACCCCUGUCAGCCGCGAACAAACCCGCCGACCUAACACGUCGGCGGCUGAUAGUAGCGGCAGAGGAAGGGACGGCUAACUCUGUGCCAGCAGCCGCGGUAAUACAGAGGUCCCGAGCGUUGUUCGGAUUCACUGGGCGUAAAGGGUGCGUAGGCGGUCGGGUAAGUCUGACGUGAAAUCCCGAGGCUCAACCUCGGAAUGGCGUCGGAAACUGCCCGGCUGGAGGGUUGGAGGGGGGACUGGAAUUCUCGGUGUAGCAGUGAAAUGCGUAGAUAUCGAGAGGAACACCGGUGGCGAAGGCGAGUCCCUGGACAACUCCUGACGCUGAGGCACGAAAGCUGGGGGAGCAAACAGGAUUAGAUACCCUGGUAGUCCCAGCCCUAAACGGUGCACGUUUGCCGUGGGCGGAUUCGACCCCGUCCGUGGCGUAGCUANNNNNNNAAACGUGCCGCCUGGGGAGUACGG
rnacentral:rRNA from 1 species